rnacentral:rRNA from 1 species
UACGUAGGGUGCAGGCGUUAAUCGGAAUUACUGGGCGUAAAGCGUGCGCAGGCGGUCUUUUAAGUCAGAUGUGAAAUCCCCGGGCUUAACCUGGGAACUGCGUUUGAAACUGAAAGGCUUGAGUGUGGCAGAGGGGGGCGGAAUUCCAGGUGUAGCAGUGAAAUGCGUAGAUAUCUGGAGGAACACCGAUGGCGAAGGCAGCCCCCUGGGUUAACACUGACGCUCAUGCACGAAAGCGUGGGGAGCAAACAGG